rnacentral:rRNA from 1 species
UCUUGGUUCACAUUAGAGGAAGUAAAAGUCGUAACAAGGUCUCCGUUGGUGAACCAGCGGAGGGAUCAUUACUGAGUUACCGCUCUAUAACCCUUUGUGAACAUACCUAACCGUUGCUUCGGCGGGCAGGGGAAGCCUCUCGCGGGCCUCCCCUCCCGGCGCCGGCCCCCACCACGGGGACGGGGCGCCCGCCGGAGGAAACCAAACUCUAUUUACACGACGUCUCUUCUGAGUGGCACAAGCAAAUAAUUAAAACUUUUAACAACGGAUCUCUUGGUUCUGGCAUCGAUGAAGAACGCAGCGAAAUGCGAUAAGUAAUGUGAAUUGCAGAAUUCAGUGAAUCAUCGAAUCUUUGAACGCACAUUGCGCUCGCCAGCAUUCUGGCGAGCAUGCCUGUUCGAGCGUCAUUUCAACCCUCAAGCACCGCUUGGUUUUGGGGCCCCACGGCACACGUGGGCCCUUAAAGGUAGUGGCGGACCCUCCCGGAGCCUCCUUUGCGUAGUAACUAACGUCUCGCACUGGGAUCCGGAGGGACUCUUGCCGUAAAACCCCCAAAUUUUUUACAGGUUGACCUCGGAUCAGGUAGGAAUACCCGCUGAACUUAAGCAUAUCAAUAGGCCGGGAGGAA